GAGGUUGUAGUUUAAUUGGAAGAGCUACGGCUUGUCGAGCCGUACGGUAGGAGUUCAACUCUCCUCAAUCUCG
rfam:Trichoplax adhaerens isolate Grell Red Sea mitochondrion, complete genome.